rnacentral:rRNA from 1 species
AGUGAACGCUGGCGGCAGGCCUAAUACAUGCAAGUCGAACGGCAGCACAGUGGAGCUUGCUCCAUGGGUGGCGAGUGGCGGACGGGUGAGGAAUACAUGGGAAUCUGCCCAGUCGUGGGGGAUAACGUAUGGAAACGUACGCUAAUACCGCAUGCGCCCUUUGGGGGAAAGUCGGGGACCGCAAGGCCUGACGCGAUUGGAUGAGCCCAUGUUCGAUUAGCUAGUUGGCGGGGUAACGGCCCACCAAGGCGACGAUCGAUAGCUGGUCUGAGAGGAUGAUCAGCCACACUGGAACUGAGACACGGUCCAGACUCCGUACGGGAGCAGCAGUAGGGAAUAUUGGACAAUGGGCG